rnacentral:lncRNA from 1 species
GCUUGCUGCCUGCAUCUUGCCCUCAGCCAAGUGAGUGAAUCCAGUGAACCAAGGAAGCAAUGCUCUGACUUGAGCAAUGAAGCCAAAGCAGACACUUGAGCUGAGCGUGGAAGCCCUGGCAAACACAGGCUCUCCUCUCUGCUUGGGAACAGCUAGAUCUUCAACACUGGGGCAAAGACGUUGAGUCUGUGAACAAAGCCAGCCAGAGCCGGAUCUGCUCCCAGGCAGAAGCCUAAGUUGAUGGGCACAGCCCACCCUGGCCAUCCUUUUCCUCCCUUGUUUAUCAGAGAACCAAGAGAACAGAGUUUUACAGACUGAAAACGAGAAACAAACAGAACAGCGCCUCAUUCUUCAGAGUAAACAGAGCAAAGGCCAGCGGUGGCAGAUGCAGCCAAGAGCUGGCUCUGUGCAGACAAAGAGCAGAUUAUGAAAACAAAACUCUAUCCGCUGAAAUCAUUGCCUUUAAUUACCGACCCAGGAGCUUCGUUUAAUGCUUCCCUUUUACACAGACGUUUGGAGCAAAUGAUGCUCAGAAGCAGGAGUCAGAAAACAAGAUUGUUCCAUGGACUGAGUAGGGGGAAGCUGGAGGUGACACAGAUGUGUCCCCCCUUCUCUUGGUCUGCUUGGAUGACUCUUCCUUUAAAGUCCUGCAGAGACCCCUCCUCUACAUCAAUAUUUGCUCAUUUCUUCCGUAGAUUUAAAAAUCUACACGGUCAUCUUAUUGCCACCAAUGCACAGGACACCGACUUCAGCUCCUUCUCUUAUACUGAUACUGGGGACACGAAGUGGGUUCUGCCCAGGUCUCAAGUUUGGAAGAUCAAAUAGCAACAGUACACAUUGCCUCUGUGGCCGUUGUGGCCUCUGUUCUGCUUUUUAGCCACAGUUCCGGACACACCACAGCUCAGAAAACUCCCCUUGGGGUGGGGUGCUCCGUCUGUCUCCUCUCCUCCCACAGCCUGAGCGAGCAUACUGUGUGAAUGACUAAGUUGUGAAUGACUGAUGGACCGAUGUAGAAAUGGGCCCAAAUGGCUGCACUUGGGUUUUAAAAGAGAUAGCAAAAUUCUGUCCUCUAGCCGACCAGCAGAGAGAGAACAGGUCAUCUGUGAGAUGGUGCCAAAGAAACACUUGCAGCCCUGUGCCAGCACUAGCCUUCCCCUGGCUCACUGAUGCCUGAGAACUGAGAGAUCCUUCCUGGACUGUUGGACUAUGCGAGGCUAACUCUGAGGAGGGGACUUUGUGUCUAACAAGCUGUGAGGUACUAUUAAAGAUGGAGUAAGAUCCCCAGGGCCGCUGCUUGUCUUUUCCUGGGAUCACUGGCCCUUCGAAACCCUGGGACACGUCUCCUUUCAUGGGUUUGUAAACAGAAUCCAGCACAGAUUUCAGGUGUUGAGCUACCAUAGAUGGUACCAAAUUCCUUGAACUCUAAAGAUACAUUCUUGCUUUGGACUCCACCCCAAGUUUUUGUAAAUGUGAUACAACGCACUGGGUGGUUUCUAAGAAGAGGUAAUGUCCCUCUCUGUAGGUAAAAGUUAAUGGAGAGUUGCUAAGUUACAUUUGAUGCUGUGUUUGAAAUACUAGUUACCGUUUCUAAGAAUAAGACUAACCUUGGAUGCAGUCUUUGGCAGUGGCGGUUAACACUGUGAUUGGAUCUCCACCGCAGUGGUCAUGGUUCUCUGUCUCCCCUCCCCUCCCCUCCCCUCCCCUCCCCUCCCCUCUCCCUCCCCUCCCCUCCCCUCCCCUCUCCUCUCUCUUCUCUCUUUUCUCUCUCAUCCUCACUGAGAUUUUCUCUCCCUUCUCUCCUCUCAAUGCCUUCUCCACCUCCCCUCUGCCUCCCCCCACCAUUCACCCCUAAUGACUACAGACAAUGACUACUAAUGUGUGUGGUUAUAUGUAUGUGACAUGACUUGUGGUACUUUGUGAGUGUGUACACUGCACACCCAUGCACGCCCACUGACAUCUCAUUUCUUUAGACACGUGUUUCUUUUCAUCUCAAUAAAAUAUUUGUCUUAAAAAACUGCAUACUUGACAUGGUUAGGGGGCUGAUUCCAGAGAUUUCUCGCUGGGAAGACAGACAAUUAAGCAUCUCUCCGGCCCACAGCGCUGUUUGCUGCCUUCUGCCUUCUCAAGGCCGACUCCUUAAACUGUGUGUCGUGAGUCAAACAUGGAUGGAAACAGGACACUUGCAAGCAGGAACAAAGCAAAAAGCCUUGGACAAGCAGCACCCAGACAUUAAUUCACAAUUAUCCAUGUAAUGAAUCUGAGGUGACUGAAGCCUUGGAUCUAAGGACCAUACGUGUAUCCAUGUGUAGCACGUGACAUCACACCAUACAAGGCCAACAAAUGCUCCCGAAAUACAUCAGCUCAGAUUCAAGUCUACUCCAUGCUGUGAGCUGCAUGUUUUGACUGUGUUUUUAAAGGAACAUAAAGUUUUAAUUAUGGGAAACGAAUACUUUUCAUAUUUCCCUACUGUCAUAUAAGUAUUGGGUUAGUACCAUCUCUGGAUUGGAUUGGAUUAGAAUGUCUGAUUGUUUAAAAAUCGCUGUUUGUGCCAUUAGCUUGAGUUUCAUGAAGAAAUUGUUCAGUGAAUUUUGACGUGAGAUUAGGACAGAAUUUCUAAUAAUUGUUAAGUGGUCCCUCCCUUUUUAUACUACACAUUUAUGAGACUAGUGUCCGGAGUACUGCCGUCUGUGAAAGCAAACUAUGCAUGAACUCAGAAAAACCUUCAAGAUGCUCUAAGUGUCUGGGUGUAGUGAUCACAGCUUUAAUCCCGGCACUUGGGAGAGUGAGGCGACAGGACCUCUAUGAGUUGGAGGCCAGCCUGGUCUAUGUAGCAAGUUCCAAGCCAUACAGGGCUACGUAGUGAGACCCUGUCAAAUAGUCAGCUGGG